AUGGAGGGCUUUUACGGUAUUGAGGUGACCGCCGGCAAGCAGGUGAAGGCCAAAAUCCCAGAGGAGUGCGCGCUGCGCGUGACGCAGCUCGCCGUUCCCGCCAACGCGGCUGGAGCCGUUUCUCUCGUCGUGUCCUUCGAGGGCAAGCUGUUCACGAUUGCCACGCUGGACCCCAAGAAGGGCGUCUACCAGAUGAGCACCGACCUCGUCUUCACCGAGGCGCAGGACGUCUCCUUCUCCGCCCAGGGUGCUGGUGCAAUCCACGUCACUGGCUACGUACAGCCGGUCGGCAACGACGAUAUGAUGAUGAAUGCCAUGGCCGGCGAGUCGGGUGAGGAGGACGAGAGCGACGACGACGACCUCGAGGAGGCUUCAGAGCCGGAAAGCAACGAGGUCGCCAAGACCCCUGCUUCCGCUGCCGCUGGUGCGGAGGACAGCGACGAGGAGGAGGAGAACGAGGACGAAGACGACGAGGAGGACGAGGACGACGAGGAUAUGCCCCCGGCCGACCUCGAUGACAGCGACACGGGCGAAGAGGACGAGGAAGUCGACGAAGAGGAUGACGAUGAGGGACAGAUGGACCACGAGGAAGUCGAGGAUGAUGAGGAUGAUGACGAGGAUAACGAUGAUGACGAGGAUAACGAUGAUGACGAGGACAACGAUGAUGACGAGGAUAACGAUGAUGACGAGGAUAACGAUGAUGACGACGAGGACGACGUACCGCGGAAGUUCCAGCGUGCGGAGCGCGGUGACCACCGCGGUGGCUUCCGCGGCGGACGUGGCGGUGAUCGCGGUGGCUUCCGUGGUGGUCGUGGCGGUGAUCGCGGUGGCUUCCGUGGCGGUCGUGGCGGUGAUCGCGGUGGCUUCCGUGGUGGUCGUGGCGGUGAUCGCGGUGGCUUCCGUGGCGGUCGUGGCGGUGAUCGCGGUGGCUUCCGCGGCGGUCGCGGCGGUGAUCGCGGUGGCUUCCGUGGCGGUCGCGGUGGUGACCGUGGCGGCUUUCGCGGUGGCAAGCGUGGCCGCUACUAG
rnacentral:rRNA from 1 species